UCUAAGAAAUCUUUUUUUACUGUUUUUCAAAAAUCGAAAUUUAGGAAUUCUAUUACCUUCCAAUGUUAAGGAUUCACAAAUUGAUCAAGCAUUCUUACCUUCACAAGGACUUUGUACAACUCUGCUAAUGUUAAAAGCACGGUUGUAGGUACCUACCGUAUCGCCGAAGCAAACUUACCUUUUGUGCUGAAGAUGUAGGAUACGAUCCCCCUAUUGCCAUUGCCAAGAUAUCUUGUUUAUAAAAAUAAAAUUAUAUUUAUAUAAUAUGAUUAAAAGAGGAAUGAUUAGAGCGUGUAAGAAAGCAAUUGUUUAUUAAACUUAAUAGAAAAUAAUAGGAAAUUGGUAGGAAGUUGGCAGGAACCAUCCUGUUUUACCAACAUGAAUCUGGUAAUAGUUGUGAAUAAAACCAAGAGCGUGCAACAGAGGGUGCGAGUUGCAGCUUCACGGGAGCUGCAUUCGAGAAUUCCCCAGGACGGGAGCGUAACACGUGCACUUGGUGGUCGAAGCAGCGUGGUUGACGUUGUAUCGACGUGUAUAUACAGAUAGCUUUCUGGAUGCUAAUGGAUAUACAUACCGGAUUAUACCAUUGCCUAAACUAAAUUUGCACUUGCCUGAUGAUGCUUCCAAGUACGUACUCGGCAUAAAUUUUAACCUCUAAUGAUACUGUGUAUAUAAUUGAUACUAUGACGAAUUAUAAUUCUCUAAAUACUAAUUCUUUAGAAAUUAUUUAUAAGUUUAAAAGAUUUUAAAGGCAAUCACACAUAUAGAUUCUUGUGAAUAAGAAAAUAAGAUAUGAAUCUCUCUAACAAAAAAUUAAAAAAUAUGUUUUAUAUUCACGCAUUUUUUUAAUUCUGAAUGGGUUUCAGAUCUCACAGUAAUCAAUUUUCGUAUCCCUCGUGUCCGACUGGUUCUUUCAAACUUAUGCGGCUUACAACAGCUAAUCGAAAAAAAACCCUCGAGGAUAAGUGACCGUAAGCACGACCUUGGACGUUUUCUACAGUGGCAAUCAAUACGAGCACGACGCGAUAGCGGAACGGAAGAUUGCAGUUUCAACAUUUCGUUUGAAGAAAAAAUCGCAAACGUGGCGAAAAAAUGAUACGCGAAAUAUAAAGAGCGCGCUUUUUCAGCAAAUUGCGAAAUCUGUUGAUAUACAAUAUACAUUUGCAAUAAAGAUGAGGUACCCUGAGUGUAAUGCAAAUAAAUGAUUCAUUUUGCAGUCAAGUGAAACAGACACAACGUCGCAAUAAAAGCGAAGGUAUUGUUUCAGGAAACUAUUCACGUAAUUGUAACGCUUUGCACAUGAUUUAUUUGGUUAAUAGAAUAGGAUAACAGCAACACAACGAGAAAAUAUCUUAGGUUUAAUUUUUAAGAAAAUUGUUAUUCACGAAUCUAUGAGAAUUAUAAAUAGUAACAUAAAUAAAAAGAAUAAAUUUAAAAAAUAUAUAACACGCUAGGAGAAUUUAAUGGAAACUGUCUAUGAUUACAAAUAUUAAUUAUCUGUGGGAGACUAAUUUCUUGCACAGCAGGUUCGAUGCUACCGGUAUAGCGAUAACGUUAAAGCGAUAACGUGAUAAAAGGAAAACAAGCUGUAUUUGCUACGCUAUUACUCCCAUGUAGAUUAAUCCACGUAUCAGCCGACGCGCUUAAGGGCUAACGACAAACCAAUCUAAAAACCAAACAAAGUAGAUUUGGAGACCGCGCGAUCUUGUAAGCCGCUUAAAGCGGCGAAUGUUUCUCUGUUGAUAGCUAGGGUUGACUGGCAUGCGUAGGUGGUACGGGCGGUGCUCGGCAAGGAUGAAAAAAGUACGUGCACGGAAAGCGGAGUGAAGAAAGGACUAGAGCAGGCCACUGGGUUCUAUCGACUUUUAAUUACUUCGCAUCGUCUCUCACAAAGAGCCGUACGGCGCAUAGGGUGUACAGAGCGACAGCCACGGUCUCGUGUGUUUACCCCUGCUUCGAUCGCUACUUUAAACUUUAAGCCAAUAUCGUCCACUUCGCGCGCGAUCCACUUGUGCCCGACGAGCGAAACAAGGGCAAUUUUCACUCGGACAUUAUGCAGGUCAACGUGACAAAAACUAUCUACAAUAGGGAAAAUAGACGAAAGAUUGUGCGAGAAAUAUCCGCCGGGAAUUCAACCCAAGUUGGUUACGAAAUACUAUACUCAAAUGUUAUGUUGAUAAAAUAUCGCGUUGUGUAAUUAAAUGGGUCCUAUGGGCGAUCGACAGUGCUAGGAAAAUGAUUGAAAUAAGAAAUAGCGAUAGAAAUAUUUAUUUAAAUUAUGUACAAAGAUACUAUUUAUUUAAAGGAUUUAUAAAAAAUAUUUAAUACAUUAAAAAUAAAUAUUUUAUACAAUAAAUAUAAAACAAGGUAUUUAAUAUUUAUAUGCAUUUAUAUAGAUUUACUUUAAAUAAGAUAUUUAUAGCAAGACUAAAAUAUAAGAAACAGCAUACAUUUUAUGGAUACAGAAUUAACUCGUUUUUAUUAACUAAGUAAUCACGUAUUUAAAUUAAUACAAUUAAUAACAAAUGAAUUUAUUUUAAAACAUGUUUUUAUAAACAUUGAGUUACAUCUAUAUAUCCAUAACACAUGUGCUGUUUUUAUUGUAGUGUUUUUUUAUGCUGUACUUUCUGUCUUUCAUUCUUCUCUUAAAAAAAUAAAAAAAUAAAGCAAAAUAAAGGAAACGGUUAUAGCAAAAAA
rnacentral:lncRNA from 1 species